rnacentral:rRNA from 1 species
GGGUGCGAUCAUACCAGCGUUAAUGCACCGGAUCCCAUCAGAUCUCCGUAGUUAAGCGCGCUUGGGCUAGAGUAGUACUGGGGUGGGUGACCUCCCG